rnacentral:tRNA from 1 species
GGGGAUGUAGCUCACUGGUAGAGCGCACGCAUCGCAUGUAUGACGUCCUGGGUUCAAUCCCCAGCAUCUCCA